UACGUAGGAGGCGAGCGUUGUCCGGAGUUACUGGGCGUAAAGGGUGCGCAGGCGGCGGUUCGCGUGGAUAGAUGAAAUCUCCUGGCUUACCUGGGAGGAUGGUAUCCAGACGGGAUCGCUUGAGGGUCGGAGAGGGGCGUGGAAUUCCGGGUGGAGCGGUGAAAUGCGCAGAUAUCAGGAGGAACACCGAUUGCGAAGGCAGCUCGCUGGGACGUCACUGACGCUGAGACGCGAAAGCGUGGGGAGCAAACAGG
rnacentral:rRNA from 1 species